rnacentral:rRNA from 1 species
AUUGAACGCUGGCGGCAGGCCUAACACAUGCAAGUCGAACGGUAACAGGAAGCAGCUUGCUGCUUUGCUGACGAGUGGCGGACGGGUGAGUAAUGUCUGGGGAACUGCCCGAUGGAGGGGGAUAACUACUGGAAACGGUAGCUAAUACCGCAUAACGUCGCAAGACCAAAGAGGGGGACCUUAGGGCCUCUUGCCAUCGGAUGUGCCCAGAUGGGAUUAGCUAGUAGGUGGGGUACCGGCUCACCUAGGCGACGAUCCCUAGCUGGUCUGAGAGGAUGACCAGCCACACUGGAACUGAGACACGGUCCAGACUCCUACGGGAGGCAGCAGUGGGGAAUAUUGCACAAUGGGCGCAAGCCUGAUGCAGCCAUGCCGCGUGUAUGAAGAAGGCCUUCGGGUUGUAAAGUACUUUCAGCGGGGAGGAAGGGAGUAAAGUUAAUACCUUUGCUCAUUGACGUUACCCGCAGAAGAAGCACCGGCUAACUCCGUG